AAAUCCCUCUGAGUGGGAUUUAACAUAAUAGUGUGGACUGAAUCACACACACAUUUCAAUCUACACUAUUAUGGUAAAUGCCACUCAGAAAUGGAGUGAGUGUUUGUGUGU
ensembl:miRNA